CAUGCAAGUCGAACGGAAUAGUUUGGUAGCAAUAUUGAAUUAUUUAGUGGCGAACGGGUGCGUAACACGUGGAUACAUGCCGGGAAGUAUGGGAUAGCCCAGGGAAACUUGGAUUAAUACCAAAUGUGAUCGUAAGAUUAAAGGCGGGGCAACCUGCCGCUUCCUGAUUGGUCCGCGGCCUAUCAGCUAGUUGGUGAGGUAAGAGCUCACCAAGGCUACGACGGGUAGCUGGUCUGAGAGGAUGGCCAGCCACACUGGAACUGAGACACGGUCCAGACACCUACGGGUGGCAGCAGUCGAGAAUCAUUCACAAUGGGGGAAACCCUGAUGGUGCGACGCCGCGUGGAGGAUAAGGUCUUCGGAUUGUAAACUCCUGUCAUGUGAGAGUAAGGAUUUGCGGGUAACUCCGUAAAUUUUGAUAGUAUCACAAGAGGAAGAGACGGCUAACUCUGUGCCAGCAGCCGCGGUAAUACAGAGGUCUCAAGCGUUGUUCGGAAUCACUGGGCGUAAAGGGUGCGUAGGCGGCGUGGAAAGUCAGAUGUGAAAUCCGGGGGCUCAACCUCCGAAUUGCAUCCGAUACUACCAUGCUAGAGAACUGGAGGGGAGUCUGGAAUUCUUGGUGUAGCAGUGAAAUGCAUAGAUAUCAAGAGGAACACUAGUGGCGAAAGCGAGACUCUGGACAGUAUCUGACGCUCA
rnacentral:rRNA from 1 species